rnacentral:rRNA from 1 species
GAUGAACGCUAGCUACAGGCUUAACACAUGCAAGUCGAGGGGCAGCAUGAAGGAAGCUUGCUUCCUUUGAUGGCGACCGGCGCACGGGUGAGUAACGCGUAUCCAACCUUCCCCAUAGUAGGGCACAGCCCGGCGAAAGUCGGAUUAAUUCCCUAUGCUGUCCAGAGAGGACAUCUGACCUGGACGAAAGAUUCAUCGCUAUGGGAUGGGGAUGCGUCUGAUUAGGUUGCAGGCGGGGUAACGGCCCACCUAGCCAUCGAUCAGUAGGGGUCCUGAGAGGAAGGCCCCCCACAUUGGAACUGAGACACGGUCCAAACUCC